UUUAAACACAAAAGUAAACGGACAAAACUAUAUAGCUCCAAAAUAUAACCAAAAGCAAGUUACUUUAAAUUUUGCAUUGAAUCAGAAAGCCCUAAUUGCCGAUUACAAAUGUGAUGAUAAGAGAAAUUAAAAUUACAAUUAAUUUCUCUGAUAAUUAAAAACACAAUAAUAUUUUUGUUUGUAUUUUAGUCUCUUUCACUAUUAAGAUUCAAGCUUCAUCAAUGGCGGGUGGUAGAAUAAGAUCAACCAUACACGGCUCUUCUUCCCGGGAUCACGAAUCUUUGCAGCGUAACGGCCCUGUGGCCUCUUCCUCACGCCCUUGUAGUGCACCUCCUUAACGCCAUUAAAUGCCUUAUCCUUAACUCUGACGUCGGCUUAGAUGACUGUGCUGAGCGGGCCGGAAGCGCGUACAUGAUUGGAGAUGUAGAAAGUGUCGAAGUUGAGGAGAUUACCGAAGGUCAAUACUUUGGAGUUGAAUAUCUUGGGAGGAAAUGAGGAGAGGAGGAAGUAGGGUUUGAUUUGGGGGAAAAAAUGGCAGUGAAGGUGAGAGAAACGAGUUUUAUUCAUUUUGAAUUUUUUAGAACUUUUCCCGGCUAGAAUCUUCAAUUUCG
rnacentral:lncRNA from 1 species